UUGUUUCGGCCAUACAUUGAUCCAAGAAUU
rnacentral:piRNA from 1 species